rnacentral:lncRNA from 1 species
UUUGUAUGAUUAUAGCCAUUCCUAAUGGUAAGCUUAAAUCAUCAUUCUCAUAAUGAAUUGCUUCAUUGAUAGCUUUCCAUCAUUCUAUUCGGGAGAUGAGGGAACAAAAAAAGAGAAAUUGGUCAGCCCUUUUUUGCCCACGUUGAUGGUAAUAAGCUAACAUUGUGAAUUUGUGCUACAUAUUUAUACUUUUUAGUUUGAUAA